UACUCAGGAAAAGCCUACCCCCUGUGACUCACGGUCCUCCUCACCUGACUGCCGAUCCGCUCGUCCUGUAAGCUCCCCAGCGAUGUGAGGAGGUGGAAGGAAAGCAAAGUGGACUUCGUGCUAUCUACCUGGUUUCCCCUCGCCCAUCCUCUACUUGUGUGACCUUGGAAAGAUCCCAGUACUUCUGGGUCCUGCUUUUCUUAAAUCAUUCGGAAUCUUAGUUCCCUGACCAGCGAUGGAACCCAUUCCCCCUGCACUGGAAACAUGGAGUCUUAACCACCAGACCACCAGGAAAGUCCCAGGGUUUUUUUUUUUUUUAAUUAAAGCUGGCUGAGUACAUUC